UGACAAGAAGAAAAAGAAGAUGAAGAAGGUGGUCUACUAUGAGACCGACUCAUCCACGCCCUCAAAUUCCGACGUCGAGUCGACAUCUUCAAAGCACCAAGAGCUUAAGAAGUAUAGUAAGAUUGUCACACCCUGAUUUUAAGGGUCCAAAACCCGGGCGUGAAAUAAUCAUCAAGUGUGCUAGGAUCAAGUCUCACACAUAUGAUGACUCAUGGUACAGAAACGAAUGUCACAUCAUUAAUAUAUAACAGAUUUCUGUAAAAAAUAGUUAAAUAAUUACAUCAUAUGAAGACAACGAUCCAACAACCAAAGUUUACUAGGAGACGACAGCCUAGACCACUCACGAACUCAUCACAACAUCCAUCAUGUGCCUUAUCCUGGUGUACCUGUUCUUGACCUGGGGGGAUGUGAGUACAACAAGGGUGAACUCACAUACGUUCAUCGCUCAACAAGUUGUGGGGAAUAAUGUGCAUGAACUCACCAAAGGUGCGAGCUCAUGUGAAGUGUAAGGCUUACCAAAGAAGAUGGUUAAAGCUGAGCAUUGCUUUUAAAGUUGGGAAAGUUGGUCAAAAUUUUAUUAUCAGUUACUAGGUAUAAAUAGAUACCAACCCAAUUAAAUAAGAGAUCAAGAUUAAUAACAACAACCACAAUGCAAUGCAAAUGACAAAUUGAGUUUAACUUCAUAAGUUAAUCAUGUGAUUGUUCGAGCCGCUCAUGACCGUGAACACGGCUGAUAUACCAGUUUUACACUCUGCAGAGGUUGCACAUCUUUACCCACAAGUCGUGUUACCCAUUUGUCACGGGGUUGUAUAGACCCCAUACACCUCUACCAAGGAAGCGAGGCAGGGUAGCACUAUGAGGCCUUUCCAAAGUUCCACUAGUUCGAGAAAACCCGCUACGGAUUUAGGAAGAAGGAAGCAUAGGAAUCUGUCGUCCGAAAAGCUUACAGAUAGUUCGACCCGAGGACCUCCCUAUACUCUACAACGGCGCCUCCCCGCUUGCCCCUAACCGAGUAAGGUAAUCUCUCCCUAGCUUUCCUAAUUACUUGGCCAAGGGCGUACCAUUCCACCCUUAUGGUAGCACUGUUGUCCCGGGUGGUUCUCCAUGUUCCAGUUAACAAUAUGAUCUUAUCAUGAACAAUAAUUAAACAGCAACAUAAUUGGAACAUGAUCAUAAUAAAACAUUAGUUUCCCAAGACCAGGUAGAGCAAUAGCAAAUCUACCCAAUAAUUCAUCUAUUUGCAAGGUGGGGAUAAACAAUACUAUGGAAACCUAUUAGGUCCCGUCGAAUUAACCUGAGCAUGUCACAAUGAUUAACAACGAACAUUAUUAGGUAAAAGGAGUGAUCAAGGGCACAACUUGCAUUAGACUUGAGAUCUCAGGUACUAGGAUGAUCUUUCGAUUCUCGUGGCCUCGCUGCUAUUCGUAGCAAUUCAAACCAACAUGGUAUAGGAAAAAUUAACAUCACACCAAACAUAAGCACAAACUGCAUAUUAAUAUUCGCAUCGUAACGAGAUUCUCGAGAACCACUAAAUUCGGAGUUACUGUGAUUAAGUUAUGAUUUUCCGAAGAUUUAAGUGUAUAUUAUAAAACAAAUGAGGUACAAGAUUUUAACCACAGGUUUUAUGGUAAUACAUGGUUACUAGAUGAUGAAGAAUAUUACUAGAGAUUAAUGCAAUUGGAAUGGGUCAAAAAGAGUCAAAAUGAAUUACUUAUGAAUUAAACAAAUAUCUGGAAUUAUUUCUAUACUAAAAAUUAUUUUCUGUAUUAAUUCAUCUCAUUUAUUCACUAUAUGGGCUGCGGGCACUAAUCUGGAGUUUCCCAGGGUCUAUUCUACAAAAUUCAGGGCCACAGCGCAAUGGUCUUAUCAAUAUUCCGGACUGCAGGUUCAUUUCAACAACCAACGACUGCGAAUAGAUAUGUUCGUGUGCUAAUCAGAGCCGCUCCAUGUGAGAUCGACGCCCACCGGCAGGAGUUCAUCAGGACCGAUCAACACCCAAUCUAUGGCCGCGAUAUAAUGAGCGAAUCGGUAUGAGGCCCUUCUAAUCUCAGCCCUACGCCAGACGAUCAACGGCUAGGAGCUUAUCUUCCUCCCCCAGCCAGAAUGCGAACUGCACGCCGCCCAAACCCCUCACAACGGCGGACAUGACAGGAGCCCCCCCGGGGUCGACCCUACGGCCCUACCUCGCCCUAACCUCUAGUUGAACGGCCCUACGUACAGCGAAGACGGCAACCAGAGAAGAUACCCACCCCAUGACGGCGUUCUACCCGGCUCACGACGGAAGGCGGAUCUGCGAUGGAGGAGAGCACCAACGACGAAUUCCGGCCCGUACAGGCCGAGUUCUUGGCCGAUGAUGCCACGCCCGUAUUCCUUGGUCGAUGGCGAAGCUCCAGGUAUAAUUCCCAAGCUUCGUACGCCGACGCGUUUGAGCUUCUUGU
rnacentral:lncRNA from 1 species